GAGAGGGAGAGGGCGGCUGACGGUGGCCCCCACGGGCCGCUGAGGAAAGUCCCCCCACCGACCAGGCUCGCAGCCGCACCCACGUGCGGGUGGCGAGAGCCACGGCCAUGACACAGAAACGGCACGGCCCGCCGCCAGCCAUGAUACGACCGAUUCGUGGAGCGUAUCGGCGGGAAGCGUUGAAACGGUGAACCCCUGCGGGUGCAAGCCAGAAACGGGCCAUGGGCUGCCUGGUGCCCGCCCAGGUUUGGCGCAGAGCUGAAUGCCGCCAUGAACAGAAGGGGGCUUACUCCUCCCACUC
rnacentral:RNase_P_RNA from 1 species